rnacentral:lncRNA from 1 species
CUGGGAGGAGUUUAAUCUCUCUGGAGCAGAGCACUCAGCACACCACCCAGACGUGGGGACUGGCUUCCUUCAGAAUAACCUUACGGCAAAUCUAUAAAAGGACUCUACAGGCUGAAGAGGAAUGGUUCUGCUGGUCAGAACACAGGACUACUCAGAGAUGAGAAGACUAGGUCAGAACACAGGACUACUCAGAGAUGAGAAGACUAGGUCAGAACACAGGACUACUCAGAGAUGAGAAGACUAGGUCAGAACACAGGACUACUCAGAGAUGAGAAGACUAGGUCAGAACACAGGACUACUCAGAGAUGAG